GAUGAACGCUGGCGGCGUGCCUAAUACAUGCAAGUCGAGCGAACAGACGAGGAGCUUGCUCCUCUGACGUUAGCGGCGGACGGGUGAGUAACACGUGGAUAACCUACCUAUAAGACUGGGAUAACUUCUGGAAACCGGAGCUAAUACCGGAUAAUAUAUUGAACCGCAUGGUUCAAUAGUGAAAGACGGUUUUGCUGUCACUUAUAGAUGGAUCCGCGCCGCAUUAGCUAGUUGGUAAGGUAACGGCUUACCAAGGCGACGAUGCGUAGCCGACCUGAGAGGGUGAUCGGCCACACUGGAAAUGAGACACGGUCCAGACUCCUACGGGAGGCAGCAGUAGGGAAUCUUCCGCAAUGGGCGAAAGCCUGACGGAGCAACGCCGCGUGAGUGAUGAAGGUCUUCGGAUCGUAAAACUCUGUUAUUAGGGAAGAACAAAUGUGUAAGUAACUAUGCACGUCUUGACGGUACCUAAUCAGAAAGCCACGGCUAACUACGUG
rnacentral:rRNA from 1 species